CGGGCUGUCCAUUGGUUUAAUACCCAUUGAAGAAAGGGCCGGGCAAGACCGGUGCCAGCCGCCGCGGUAAUACCGGCGGCUCGAGUGGUGGCCACUAUUACUGGGCUUAAAGCGUUCGUAGCUGGUUUGUUAAGUCUCUGGGGAAAUCUUCCGGCUUAACCGGAAGGCGUCUCAGGGAUACUGGCAGACUAGGGACCGGGAGAGGUGAGGGGUACUCCAGGGGUAGGAGUGAAAUCCUGUAAUCCUUGGGGGACCACCUGUGGCGAAGGCGCCUCACCAGAACGGCUCCGACAGUGAGGGACGAAAGCUGGGGGAGCAAACCGGAUUAGAUACCCGGGUAGUCCCAGCUGUAAACGAUGCGCGUUAGGUGUAUCGGUGACCACGAGUCACCGAGGUGCCGAAGAGAAAUCGUGAAACGUGCCGCCUGGGAAGUACGGUUGCAAGGCUGAAACUUAAAGGAAUUGGCGGGGGAGCACCACAACAGGUGGAGCCUGCGGUUUAAUCGGACUCAACGCCGGGAAACUCACCAGUUAAGACAGCUGAAUGAUAGUCGGGCUGAAGACUCUACUUGACUAGCUGAGAGGUGGUGCAUGGCC
rnacentral:rRNA from 1 species